rnacentral:rRNA from 1 species
GACGAACGCUGGCGGCGUGCUUAACACAUGCAAGUCGAACGGAAAGGCCUUUUCGGAGGUACUCGAGUGGCGCACGGGUGAGUAACACGUGGGUGAUCUGCCCUGCACUCUGGGAUAAGCCUGGGAAACUGGGUCUAAUACCGGAUAGGACCGCACUUUAGUGUGUGUGGUGGAAAGUUUUUUCGGUGUAGGAUGAGCCCGCGGCCUAUCAGCUUGUUGGUGGGGUAAUGGCCUACCAAGGCGGCGACGGGUAGCCGGACUGAGAGGUUGGUCGGCCACAUUGGGACUGAGAUACGGCCCAGACUCCUACGGGAGGCAGCGGUGGGGAAUAUUGCACAAUGGGCGCAAGCCUGAUGCAGCGACGCCGCGUGGGGGAUGACGGCCUUCGGGUUGUAAACUCCUUUCGCCAGGGACGAAGCGUUUUGUGACGGUACCUGGAGAAGAAGCACCGGCUAACUACGUG